UUUAUAUAAGGAGUCGUUUUAUGAAUAUUCAAUGGCGGCAAUGACGUCAUAGACCCUUCUCCUCUGUUGGUAAAUCAACAACUACACUACACAAAGCACAUAUUAUUGUUGAUGAAACGCAUCAUGUAGUUUACUUGAAUGUCGUUAUAUGGCAUUCAGAUUGUGUCGCUGUGUACACCAGAUUCUCUAAAGUGAUAGAAAAUAUUGUAGUAAGAGUAAUAUAAUAGUUGUCAAGGAUUGGUUCUCUUUCACAGCAGGAACAAGAAACUGUCCAUGAGAAAUUUUCUGUUUAAGGUGAUGACGACCUUAGAGAGCAAAGAGAUGGCCGCCUAGGAGAGGACCCUGCGGAGAUACCAAGGCGGGAGCUAAGAGUCAAGGUCUCAAGUCUAAUUGGAGGAAAACGUUAUACCUUUUGACGGGGCCAUGGAAGUGAAUGGUGUGGUACAGAAGAAAUGGGAAGACGUCAGAACAGAGAUAUUAGUUGCACAUUAUGUUGAUUUCGUUUUAAUAAUGCUCAAACCCUCAUAUGUCAGUAAAACAGUUUUGUUUAAAUGCUUAUUUCGAAUCUAUGGUGGAAACUUGCAGAUUACUAGUAUUUACAUUGCCUCGUUUUAACUCGCAGUUCGUUUUCCAUUUGUUUGUUCUCAGAUCAAACAAGUUUAGUCCUCACAAUUAUACAAUUCGAGAACAAAGACUUCUUGUCGAUAUGUUGUGUGUCUUAAGCUGUGUCUGACAAAAAGAAUUGACAAUUUAGUGUUUUAGUACAGCUCAGCAUUGGAAACUAAAUUUCAUAGUUUUGUACUCCCAGUAAAAGACGACAAUUUAUAUAAGGAGUCGUUUUAUGAAUAUUCAAUGGCGGCAAUGACGCCAUAGACUCCUCUUCUCUGUUGGUAAAUCAACAACUACACUACACAAAGCACAUAUUAUUGUUGAUGAAACGCAUCAUGUAGUUUACUUGAAUGUCGUUAUAUGGCAUUCAGAUUGUGUCGCUGUAUACACCAGAUUCUCUAAAGUGAUAGAAAAUAUUGUAGUAAGAGUAAUAUAAUAGUUGUCAAGGAUUGGUUCUCUUUCACAGCAGGAACAAGAAACUGUCCAUGAGAAAUUUUCUGUUUAAGGUGAUGACGACCUUAGAGAGCAAAGACAUGGCCGCCUAGGAGAGGACCCUGCGGAGAUACCAAGGCGGGAGCUAAGGGUCAAGGUCUCAAGUCUAAUUGGAGGAAAACGUUAUACCUUUUGACGGGGCCAUGGAAGUGAAUGGUGUGGUACAGAAGAAAUGGGAAGACGUCAGAACAGAGAUAUUAGUUGCACAUUAUGUUGAUUUCGUUUUAAUAAUGCUCAAACCCUCAUAUGUCAGUAAAACAGUUUUGUUUAAAUGCUUAUUUCGAAUCUAUGGUGGAAACUUACAGAUUACUAGUAUUUACAUUGCCUCGUUUUAACUCGCAGUUCGUUUUCCAUUUGUUUGUUCUCAGAUCAAACAAGUUUAGUCCCCACAAUUAUACAAUUCGAGAACAAAGACUUCUUGUCGAUAUGUUGUGUGUCUUAAGCUGUGUCUGACAAAAAUAAUUGACAAUUUUAAGCUGUGAAACAAGACUAGUUGAUUUUUCCUUUUUCAUACUAUCGUUGUUUGCUCAGGCGAUGAGCAUUGUUAUGCAGGUAGCAUAUGCUCUUUCGGUGGCUGAACGGGCGUUCCGAGUUUGAGCACCGAGAUUCUCACUGGGAAAAUGUUUUAAUUAAAGAAACUGACGAGAAGACUGUACUCUAGAAGGCCACGGCCGAGUUGUUUCGUUCCAUGUAGUCAGGGUCAGCAUCAUAGACUUCACCUUAUCCAGGCUCACAGAAGGGACGACCGUAAACUGUUUCAAUCGUCAACAAAUGUCUUAUGGAUAAGAUACCUUUUUGAGGCAUUGACGAGAGGCGAAACGGUAUGGAAAAGGCAAGAUCUGCCUGUGUUGAAACAGAAAACGACCACAUCUGUCUGUGUGCGAAGUCUGUUUGAAUCGUACAAGCUGCAUUAUGUGUGUUUGUGUUUAGCGGUUUUUUCCCCCAACAUUUUAUUUCAGUCUUGUAAACGACGGUAUCCUUUUAGCAGUUACCGGAAUGCCCAUUUUUAUACUGAUGCCUCACUGGAAUAUCACGCCGUAGACACGUGACAUAUCAAAAUAUCCUGACACAGGACUGAUAAGUUCUCAUUAUAAUGAAAAUAGUGGCACACAGAUGAGCAUAAUUCAAAUACAUGUAUUACAAAUUAUGUAUAAAGUACCGCCGUAUUCCGAAAACAUCUGUAAGUUUGGUCUGAAAUGUUCCCCAGCCUCAUAGAUCAGAUAAAUCCCCGUGCGUUAAUGGCGAGGGUUAAGGCCUUUCUUUGCUCAACUCUUUGCAUACCUAGCCCGUAAACUCAAGAAAACCUGAUACUCAAACAUAUGUUUGUCCUCGUUAAUUCAUCUAUUUUGUUGGGUUUAACGUCGCACCGACACCAUUUUAGGUCAUAUGGCGACUUUUGUCCUCGCUAAAGUCGGAUUAUUUCAUGGGAGAGUGAUUAUGCAAAUACUUGUAAUUAUUCCUUGCAAGACUCUGGUCAGUGUUCAUGUCAGAUUUGUUCUACAUGUAUUUUGAUCUCUUCAGAUCGUUCAGCACGACAUUUUAAUUGUGUUAUUGUAAUACUUUUAAAUUUUGUAUUUUGGCCGUUUCUGUGGUAUGCAUGAUCUGUAACCUCAUAUCCUCUCUCCAGUUUAUUUAGUUUUGACCAUUUCCUUCUCGAUUACGGCAUCCCUAUCAUUCUCUUGAGAAGGGACAUUAUGAUUCGGUAAGUAACACUUGACUGAGCUACUGAUAUCGAAAGCUGUUGUCAUUGCAAGAUGGCCAGUCAAACUCCGUGACCUUAGAAAUAACCUCUGACGUUAAAACUAUUCUUUCCUAAUUGAGGCGACUCUCUGUCUGAACGUGUUCCGUGGAUUACAUAUUACUAAACCCGAGGAUGGUUGACUGAUUCUUUUAUUUCAUCCAUUCUUGAAGAACAUAACAUAUGUACAAACAGAUGGACAUAUAUCAGCAAAUUUACAUAUUUUUUGGUUGUGUUUAACGUCGCACCGACACAUUUUAGGUCAUAUGGCGACUUUCCAGCUUUAAUGGUGGAGGAAGACCCCAGGUGCCCCUCCGUGCAUUAUUUCAUCACGAACGGGCACCUGGGUAGAACCACCGACCUUCCGUAAGCCAGCUGGAUGGCUUCCUCACAUGAAGAAUUCAACGCCCCGAGUGAGGCUCGAACCAACAUCGAUGAGGGGCAAGUGAUUUGAAGUCAGCGACCUUAACCACUCGGCCACGGAGGCCUCAGAUAAGUAUUAUCGUUACCUUCAAAUGCAUGGUUAAUAUGUGAAAACAAACCCCAUUGCGACCCUCUAUUUAUGAGCAACAAAUUCACGCAUCAAAUCGUAAUGGAUUGACCGGGUCAAUGUCUUAUUGCCUUAUUUACUCAACUGAAAGUGGUAACAGAUUUAAUUUGUUGUUGGCUUUAACAAUUUAUGUUAAAUAACUAGCGUAAGUAAUUACUUGUCAUUUUUGACAGUUUAUAAAACAGACAUUGCAACCAAAUUUUUACAAGAUGAACAUUAUAUUGUUUCUACUGGAAAUCAUACGCCGCUUUUCAUGGAUUUGCACUCUGCAUCAGUGAAGGUUCUACUGUAUGAAUACUACCCAUGCUAGUGUAAACUGUAUUUCUCCCGUUACAUAAUUGGAACUGUUAAAAAACGGUGUUAAACCCAAAAACAAAAAUUGUAUUUCUUUUAUAACGUGUGUUAAUGUAAAGUUCUGCACAACCUAGGACGUAGACGGUAGUCGGCUAUACCAUCCAUAAACACUCUCAAUCAAACCAAGUAUGAAUACUAACCGCAAACGAAACUGUGCUCUUUUUAUUUUCAGAUUUUCUCAGAAUACGGUGAUGUUAUGUUUGGUAUAUCAUUUCAACGGAUAAAUAUUUAUCUUUUCAACUUACGUGAUUUUGUUAUCGUAUUGAUUCUGUUUAAGUGUAUGUCACGUCCUAUCGUUUAGUAGCGGUCAGAAUAAAAAUAUACAAAUAGCCGAGAGAAUUUUCUUGUGCUCACUUACUGUAGUUUGAUCAAAAGUGAUGAAAAUUUUGUAUUAAUACCGUGCGCACCCGCCAUUCUGUCUAACAACUUGCACAACACGCCGUAUCCUGGAAUAAACAUGACGCUGUAUUACUUUGGCUUGAAGACGGCAGUG